rnacentral:rRNA from 1 species
AUGGCACCUGCAACAACUCUCUGCUCUCUUUCUCCAAAUGGCAUCCUAUUUCUCUUCACCAAUCUUCUUAUCUUAAUGUCGUCCAGCGGCGUCGCAAAAUCCAUCAGCAACGAAUCGGAGAUCGACCUGCAGGCCCUCCUCUCCUUCAAGUCCAGCAUCUCCAGCGAUCCCCACAGUGUCUUGGGAUCAUGGAACACCUCGAUCAGCUUCUGCAGAUGGCCAGGGGUCGCUUGCGGUACAACUCGUCCGUUUCGUGUGGUCUUACUCGACUUAAGCUCUGCACAACUUCGUGGUAAGUUAUCUCCUUGGAUAGCUAACCUUACAUCACUAGAAUAG